ensembl:lncRNA
GUGUCUCUCCAUAUCACCGUAUGCUGCGUAUGCUCUUCUGUGUCAUCCGCGCCACAAGGAUGUGCUGUUUUCUUUCAAAUCAAAGCUAAAUACACGUAGAAACAGCACAUCCUUGUGGUGCGGAUGACACAGAAGAGCAUACGCAGCAUACGGUGAUAUGGAGAGACACUGAGGAGACUGUUGACAAAGGAAUCGUUGAGUAAAGUCAUUAUUUUUGUUAUCUUCGCUUACAAAAAGUGUUCCUGUCGCUUCAUAUAACACAGAUUGCACGUCUGAUGGCAGAUGGAGUAUUCUGACGACGACUUUCAUACCUUUUAUGGACCUUGACACUGUUAUUUACUUGGCAGUCUAUGGGACAGUCACAAGACUCCCGGAUUUCAUCCAAAAUAUCUUAAAUUGUUUUCUGAAGACAAUUUUACGGGUUUGGAACAACAUGGGGAUAAGUGAUUAAUGACAAAAUUUUCAUUUUGGGGUGGAGUAUCCCUUUAAAGCCUGUUUUUUUUUUUUUAAAUCCAUUGUAAAAAUAGAAGUAUUUUCAGAAAAUAACCUGCUCAUUAUUUCCAGAGUUAUUUUCUAAGCAAAUCUGAAGGUAAAGUGUUUAAAGGUAAUAUUUAAUAUUCCCUGGAAGCUUCAUGUGUGAGUUUCACGAUAGACUGAGACUUGUUUAUAAAGUUUGUAGGCUUUAUUCUACUAACAUAACAUCCUGAGGAUUACAGUUCGGAUCUUCAAGAAACUAGUUUAGCCAAGCUUUAGUCAUUCCAUAAGUCAAAUUCGACUUUUGUCUUGUUGCCUGCCAUUGCUGUGUGCUUAGAUAUACUAUGCACUUGGCAUAUCUUCUGUGCACAAUUAAUAAUACAUUCUUCCUUUUCAAUAUAACCAAUUCUAUUCUCUGAUGGUACAGUGUCAUUUGAUGCAAGAAAAGAUGGCACAUUGCAUGGUUUUCAGUCAUCUUAUUAUGGUGCACCUUACAUAAUGGAUCUUAGAGAUAUAAUAGUAACGUGGUAUCAGUCUGACACCUUGUUGCUAAGUCAGCAAUAACAAUAUAUUCAAUAACAAGACAAUAUUUAAUGUUAAUUGUGACAUUAAGUGUUUUUUUUUUCUUCAGAACAACAAUUCAUCCUUCAUUAGGAUGUUGACAACAUUAAGUGCAUUUAAUUAGCAGCAUAAUCAAAUAUGAAAAUGUGUAUUUUUUGGUCUGAAUUGACUGUCAACUCAUAAAUAAGCUAAUUUGUAGUCAGUAAGCUGAUUAAGACAUGAGUGCAUUUUUUUUCUGCACAGAUAAUAGAUACCUCAGGGGUUAUAGAAGACAGUGUGCCACACAUUUCAUUGAUGGGUUUGCAUGUUGAAAGCAGGGUCCUCAGGUUUGAGAUGGAUGAACUUGGCUUUUCUGAAGUCGUGUAAAAUGCUGUACCAUUAAAUGUGACUGCCAACAACAAUAAAACAAACAAAAAACUCUUCAUAAAGUCCAUGCUCAUUGACUUGACUUGAAUUAAAUGGGUUCUAGACCCUAAUGCACCAAGGUGAACUGAAUUCACAAAGACUUUAAGAGGAGUAUUGCCUCUCUUAUUAAAGCAAUUGUUAAGUUUUAUAGUCUGCAAGCUAAUGUUCCUAGUUUUGCAUUGUACUGAGAAACAGGGUCAAUAAACAGCACAGCAUUUGUAUUUUCAAACAUGUAA